GAAAUGCGAUAAGUAGUGUGAAUUGCAGAAUUCAGUGAAUCAUCGAAUCCUUGAACGCACAUUGCGCCCUUUGGUAUUCCUUAGGGCAUGCCUGUUCGAGCGUCAUCUAAACCCUCAAGCCCUGCUUGGUGUUGGGUGCCUGUCCCGCCCCCGUGCGUGGACUCACCUCAAAUCCAUUGGCGGCCCUCGUGCCGGCCCCGAGCGCAGCAGAAACGCGGUCUCGUGGCCCGGCGGAGCGUGCCCCCAGAAGCAACAUUCACCGUUUUGACCUCGGAUCAGGUAGGGAUACCCGCUGAACUUAAGC
rnacentral:misc_RNA from 1 species